rnacentral:rRNA from 1 species
AACGAACGCUGGCGGCAGGCCUAACACAUGCAAGUCGAGCGCCCCGCAAGGGGAGCGGCGGCCGGGUGAGUAACGCGUGGGAAUAUGCCCUUUGCUACGGAAUAGUCUCGGGAAACUGGGGGUAAUACCGUAUACGCCCUUUGGGGGAAAGAUUUAUCGGCGAAGGAUUAGCCCGCGUUGGAUUAGGAAGUUGGUGGGGUAAUGGCCUACCAAGCCGACGAUCCAUAGCUGGUUUGAGAGGAUGAUCAGCCACACUGGGACUGAGACACGGCCCAGACUCCUACGGGAGGCAGCAGUGGGGAAUCUUAGACAAUGGGGGCAACCCUGAUCUAGCCAUGCCGCGUGAGUGAUGAAGGCCUUAGGGUUGUAAAGCUCUUUCAGCUGGGAAGAUAAUGACGGUACCAGCAGAAGAAGCCCCGGCUAACUCCGUG